rnacentral:rRNA from 1 species
AUCUGUGGCCACAGCACCCUGGGCACACCCAAUCUUGACUGACCCCGGAAGCUAAGCAGGGUGGGGCCUGCUUAGUACUUGGAUGGGAGAAAUA